GCCUCCCGCCGGAACGGCGUCACUGCGGCCCAGCGCGUCACACGUCACUUCCAGGGAGCGCCGCCCGCGGGGGCGGACCGGAAGAGCGCCCCACAGCCCGGCCCGCCCUUCCCUGCGGCCCGACGGCUCCCUCCGCCACACAGGCCGCAGCCGGAUCUACCUCGGCCUGCUCUCCGCCCGCGCGCCUUCUGCCCAUGCGUGGUCGUGACGUGGCCGGCCCCUCCCUCCGGGCCCCGCCGGCCUCUGUGACGGAAGCAGCAGAACCCUGCUUCGGCUCCCUGCUUGUGGCCUGGGAAAGGUCUCGGGACCCUGUACCCUUGUGGGAGACCUGGAGGAAGCUCUGACUCCUGACUUCGGAUCAGCUCAGCCUUGGCUGAUGCGGCCACUUGGAAAAGAAACAGAAAUGUUGGCUUUCCAGACCCAAGCCAGAGCUAUUGACACUCUGGGAGUAGGGGACAGCUCUCUGUGCUUGAACAGACUGGACAGUGAGUGAUCUUGAUGCACAUCAAGGUUGGAGAGCCAGUGUCCUAAGU